rnacentral:rRNA from 1 species
UACGUAGGGUGCGAGCGUUGUCCGGAAUUAUUGGGCGUAAAGAGCUCGUAGGCGGUCUGUCGCGUCGGUCGUGAAAACUUGGGGCUUAACCCUGAGCUUGCGGUCGAUACGGGCAUGACUGGAGUUCGGCAGGGGAGACUGGAAUUCCUGGUGUAGCGGUGAAAUGCGUAGAUAUCUGGAGGAAUACCGGUGGCGAAGGCGGCAUCCUGGACCAUUACUGACGCUGAGGCGCGAAAGCUAGGGGAGCAAACGGG